UGGAUCGAUGAUGACUGCUGGUGGCGUAUGAGUCAUAUACAAUGAAUACGUGUCUGGAACUCUGAGGUCCGU
ensembl:snoRNA